rnacentral:lncRNA from 1 species
AAAGAUGAACUCUUGAGACCUCAACCACUCCUUCUGUGUCUCCUUUCUAAGCUCCAUAUCACUGCUUCUAGCAUAACUGCAUUGACAGGAAGAUUUCAUUUUAAGAAGCUACCCAACACAUCUGGACAACCAGUCAAUCAAAAGUUCUUUGUGAAUAUAAGUCCAGAACUAUGGCAAAGUUCUUUGGAGAUAGGCGGAGUGAAGUUGGUGGAAGGAUUCAUGUGAACUCUGUUAAAAGAUCCCAGUAGCUUCUUCCUCUGUGUUCCAAAAGUCCUUUGCUAUAUUUUAAUUUAAAUCAUACUAGGAUGUAUUGAUCAUUUGACUAUGA